rnacentral:tRNA from 1 species
UCCCAGGUAGCUCAGCUGGCAGAGCAGGUGGCUGUUAACCACCGGGUCGGGGGUUCAAAUCCCUCCCUGGGAGCCA